ensembl:rRNA 5S_rRNA 5S ribosomal RNA
GUCUACGGCCAUGCUACCCUGAACACACCCCUUCCCAGUCUGAUCUCGGAAGUUAAGCAGAGUUCGGCCUGGUUAGAACUUGGAUGGGAGACCACCUAGGAAAACCAAGUGCUGUAGGUG